UACGAAGGUGGCAAGCGUUGUUCGGAUUUACUGGGCGUACAGGGAGCGUAGGCGGUUGGAUAAGCCCUCCGUGAAAUCUCCAGGCUUAACCUGGAAAGUGCAGAGGGGACUGUUCAGCUAGAGGAUGGGAGAGGAGCGCGGAAUUCCCGGUGUAGCGGUGAAAUGCGUAGAGAUCGGGAGGAAGGCCGGUGGCGAAGGCGGCGCUCUGGAACAUUUCUGACGCUGAGGCUCAAAAGCGUGGGGAGCAAACAGG
rnacentral:rRNA from 1 species